GUGAAAAGUAUUUGCCCCAUAUUACGCUCAUCAUAAAAGGAAAUAUCCUAUGCUCAUGGAUGGUGCCUCAAAGAUUUUAUCAACGCUGUACGCUUUCCAAGCACUGGACGCCGAAAAACUGUCUUCUUUACCUUGUGUCCAAGAACCGUGGAAUUACAGGGACAGAAAAGUACAGGGGAUUUGAUGUGUUCAGCCAAACAUUGAAUGAUAGAUAUUUCGAAGUACGAUAACUCUCCGUAGAAGCUCGUAGAAUGACGCAAAGACUUCUGGGAAAUCAUACCGUCAACAUGUCGGACAUCGAAUGGGAUGUGGACGAUUUCGAGCCGCCUCCGAAUAAGGCUCCGGCAUCGACAGACAAAUGGGAGGGAGAAGAUGAGGAGGAGGAAAUUAGGGUAGGUCAGAAGUAUGUUCAUUGCUUACGGUAUUCCUGUGGUGGUGUUUUCUUUCAGACUCUUAACAC